AUUCAUCCUUCCAUUUCUGGUACUUCCAGUCCGUAGCGGGUUAUCUGCUGGUGGAUUUUAGCAGAAAGAAGUCAUCUCUCACAACACAGAUAGACCUUACAUGCAGAAAAUCAGAUAUACUUGGGCACCUGGAGAGUUUCUUGCUUUUCACCUGGAAGAACUUGUGCUUCCUCUCAAGACAAAGCUUGUCUCCAAACCCAGGUGAGGAGACUCCCACCAAAGGAAACGGAAGGUGCUUUGUGGACACCCUGCAAGGCCCUACUGCAAAUCCUUGGAGGCUUGGGGUGUUAAAGAUGGCUUCAUUUAAGCUCCCUCCAUCCUGCCCUUCAAAUCACUUUGAAGGCUUCUCAAACUCCCGAGCAUCUCAAGGAGCUUCCUACCCAUCUCCUGCCUCCAGCAUCACCAG